rfam:Parcubacteria (Magasanikbacteria) bacterium GW2011_GWC2_41_17 TT49_C0010, whole genome shotgun sequence.
GCCUCCAUAGCUUAAUGGAUAAAGUACCGCGCUUCGGACGCGGUGAUGGGGGUUCGAUUCCCUCUGGAGGCA